rnacentral:rRNA from 1 species
GAUGAACGCUGGCGGCGUGCUUAACACAUGCAAGUCGAACGGAAAGGCCCAAGCUUGCUUGGGUACUCGAGUGGCGAACGGGUGAGAAACACGUGGGUGAUCCGUCCUGUACUUCGGGAUAAGCCUGGGAAACUGGGUCUACUACCGGAUAGGACCACUUCGUAGUGGUUGUGGUGGAAAGUUCUUGCGGUGUGGGAUGAGCUCGCGGCCUAUCAGCUUGUUGGUGGGGUAAUGGCCUACCAAGGCGUCGACGGGUAGCCGGCCUGAGAGGGUGUACGGCCACAUUGGGACGGAAGUACGGAGCAGACUCCUACGGGCGGCAGCAGGGAGGAUUAUUGCACAAUGGGCGGAAGCCUGAUGCAGCGACGCGGCGGGGAAGAUGGCGGCCUUCGGGUUAAAAGCUCCUUUCGCCAAAGACGAAUUUAUGACGGUAUCUGGAGAAGAAGCACCGGCUAACUACGUG